rnacentral:pre_miRNA from 1 species
ACAACAUUCGGUCCGUCGAUCUACCAAGCAAUAUCACACGCACAGUGGAAGAUGUUCUCUUUGUAGC